rnacentral:rRNA from 1 species
GUCUACGGUCAUGCUGCCCUGAACACUCCGGAUCCUGUCUGAUCUCAGAAGCUAAGCAGGGUCGGGCCUGGUUAGUACUUGGAUGGGAGACCACCUAGGAAGACCAGGUGCUGUAGGCG